UUGACAUGUCCGGAAUCCCGAAGAGAUUUGGGAGUGCUCGCAAGAGAGCCGGAACACAGGUGCUGCAUGGCUGUCGUCAGCUCGUGUCGUGAGAUGUUGGGUUAAUCCCGCAACGAGCGCAACCCUUGUCAUUAGUUGCCAUCAUUUGGUUGGGCACUCUAAUGAGACUGCCGGUGACAAACCGGAGGAAGGUGGGGAUGACGUCAAGUCCUCAUGGCCCUUAUGGGUAGGGCUUCACACGUCAUACAAUGGUCGGUACAGAGGGUUGCCAACCCGCGAGGGGGAGCUAAUCCCACAAAGCCGAUCGUAGUCCGGAUCGCAGUCUGCAACUCGACUGCGUGAAGUCGGAAUCGCUAGUAAUCGUGGAUCAGCAUGUCACGGUGAAUACGUUCCCGGGUCUU
rnacentral:rRNA from 1 species